AUGCACGCUGGCGGCGUGCCUAAUCCCUGCCAGUCGCGCGAACAGACGAGGAGCUUGCUCCUCUGACGUUAGCGGCGGACGGGUGAGUAACACGUGGAUAACCUACCUAUAAGACUGGGAUAACUUCGGGAAACCGGAGCUAAUACCGGAUAACAUGUUGAACCGCAUGGUUCAACAGUGAAGGACGGUCUUGCUGUCACUUAUAGAUGGAUCCGCGCCGCAUUAGCUAGUUGGUAAGGUAACGGCUUACCAAGGCAACGAUGCGUAGCCGACCUGAGAGGGUGAUCGGCCACACUGGAACUGAGACACGGUCCAGACUCCUACGGGAGGCAGCAGUAGGGAAUCUUCCGCAAUGGGCGAAAUCCUGACGGAGCAACGCCGCGUUAGUGAAGAAGGUCUUCGGAUCGUAAAACUCUGUUAUUAGGGAAGAACAAAUGUGUAAGUAACUAUGCACGUCUUGACGGUACCUAAUCAGAAAGCCACGGCUAACUACGUG
rnacentral:rRNA from 1 species